rnacentral:rRNA from 1 species
UACGUAGGGUGCGAGCGUUACUCGGAAUUACUGGGCGUAAAGCGUGCGCAGGCGGUUCGACAAGUCCGAUGUGAAAGCCCCGGGCUCAACCUGGGAAUGGCAUUGGAAACUGGCGAGCUUGAGUGUGGCAGAGGGGGGUGGAAUUCCGCGUGUAGCAGUGAAAUGCGUAGAGAUGCGGAGGAACACCGAUGGCGAAGGCAGCCCCCUGGGCUGACACUGACGCUCAGGCACGAAAGCGUGGGGAGCAAACAGG